AGUGAACGCUGGCGGUAGGCCUAACACAUGCAAGUCGAACGGCAGCACAGUAAGAGCUUGCUCUUACGGGUGGCGAGUGGCGGACGGGUGAGGAAUACAUCGGAAUCUACUUUUUCGUGGGGGAUAACGUAGGGAAACUUACGCUAAUACCGCAUACGACCUACGGGUGAAAGCAGGGGAUCUUCGGACCUUGCGCGAUUGAAUGAGCCGACGUCGGAUUAGCUAGUUGGCGGGGCAAAGGCCCACCACGGCGACAAUCCGUAGCUGGUCUGAGAGGAUGAUCAGCCAGACUGGAAGUGAGACUCGUUCCCGACUCCUACGGGAGGCAGCGGUGGGGAAUAUUGGACAAUGGGCGCAAGCCUGAUCCAGCCAUACCGCGUGGGUGAAGAAGGCCUUCGGGUUGUAAAGCCCUUUUGUUGGGAAAGAAAAGCAGCAGGUUAAUACCCCGCUGUUCUGACGGUACCCAAAGAAUAAGCACCGGCUAACUUCGUG
rnacentral:rRNA from 1 species